rnacentral:rRNA from 1 species
AAUAGAUACCCGGGUAGUCCACGCCGUAAACGAUGAGUGCUAAGUGUUGGAGGGUUUCCGCCCUUCAGUGCUGCAGCUAACGCAUUAAGCACUCCGCCUGGGGAGUACGGUCGCAAGACUGAAACUCAAGGGAAUUGACGGGGGCCCGCACAAGCGGUGGAGCAUGUGGUUUAAUUCGAAGCAACGCGAAGAACCUUACCAGGUCUUGACAUCCUCUGACAAUCCUAGAGAUAGGACGUUCCCUUCGGGGACAGAGUGACAGGUGGUGCAUGGUUGUCGUCAGCUCGUGUCGUGAGAUGUUGGGUUAAGUCCCGCAACGAGCGCAACCCUUGUCCUUAGUUGCCAGCAUUCAGUUGGGCACUCUAAGGAGACUGCCGGUGACAAACCGGAGGAAGGUGGGGAUGACGUCAAAUCAUCAUGCCCCUUAUGACCUGGGCUACACACGUGCUACAAUGGAUGGUACAAAGGGCUGCGAAACCGCGAGGUUGAGCCAAUCCCAUAAAGCCAUUCUCAGUUCGGAUUGUAGG